rnacentral:lncRNA from 1 species
AGGAAGCGGGGCCUCUACACUUUCAGCACCUGGCUUGCGGCAGCCGCCCUGAGUCUGUUGGGGACCUGGAUGCGAGGACACAGAGGUGCGCGCAUGCACGCGCAGGCACCUAAUCCUUUCCGAUCAUCCACCCUUUUAUAGAUUUUAUUCUUGUCCUGGGUUAUUAAUUCAAGAAGACAUUUCGGGUCUCCAUCUACCUCUGCCUGGACAAAGGAACCCCUGAGUCUUCCGUAGCCAGCCACUACAACGUAAAGAUUCACUUCCGUUAUGCCUUGUGUCCCUUUCUUGCUACUCAGCCCGGCUCUGAGGUGACAGGUGGGCCAGCCCGACGGGGUAACCAAGAGCAGGUGCUGGCAAGCAUUCUCCUGUGUAAUUAGGGGGACAGCCCAGCUUGGGGACUGGGGGAAUGACGUUAAAUUAUUCCAUCACAUAAACUGUGAAGGGUUGCUUCUACCAGAGCAACUAUCCAAUUAGUUCAAUCAUGUAGACAGGCAAUGUAGAUCACUUUAAAACAUAAUCGAAAAACAAAUGCUCUUUUUAUUUAUUGUAGCAAGUAUUUUUCUGCUGAGGAGGGAGCAGAAUUAGAGGUACUGCGUUAACUCAAUCUCUUCUCAGAAGCCCCCCAACUAAGAGGGAAGAAGGAAGAAACCCGCUGAGUCUCGGCAACCCAGACAUUCGGUCCCCGCCUCCUCCCUCAGCUGAAAAGUCACAUUGAAGACCAAGGCUACCUUCGGAGCUGAAGGUUUGGUAACGAAUAACGGUUACUGACACCGAAAUAUCCUCCCUUACCCCUGGACUCCUGGUCUACGCAAAUGAGGCCAUAUGUAGAACUACAGGACCUUCAGGCUGCAACUAUGGGAGGUGUCAGAAAAGAAGCCCAAGGUUUCCUGCGGGGGCAUGUCUGCCAAUUGAGUCAGUAGUUGUCCGGAAGACGGAUGAUUGAACUACCCCGAGGAGCAGCAAAAACGGGGCAAUCAAAAACUUUAAACUGAAAAAUAAAAACUUUACCCAUUCCCCCA